UAUAUAAAAGGGCGGAGCACAAAGCUGAAGCUUUCUCAGUAGUUCUCCCGUCACACUGUUGGGUACCCAAACUACCAGGUGCUCUUUGGUUGGCUGGUCGCUAGAUGGUUGGAGGUUAGACUGGCCAGUUGGAGUAGCAGCCACAGGAUCUUUACCACCACAGAGCCUGUGGAAGGUGUGGAGGAUCCAACUUUUUUUUUCACGACUGCAUUCCGGACCGCCUUUUCCCCCUGGAGCAAGUCGGAAACCCUGAAUUUCAAGUCAUUUUUUGCCGCAUUCCUCCUUUUUGCCUGACCAAAAGGGUGUAAUCGCAACCAGGUCUCCAGACCAGAGCUGCAUCAACACACCGCGCAAAGAAACCAACCCCAGACCCACGACAGACAUGAUCAUCAGACUGGGCAGGCUGACCCCUGGAUACUUCCGCCUCCUACAGAGACAGGUGGCGGGUGAGGUGCAGACCCAGCCACAGGACCGCGCAGUCAACCAGAUAGCCAUGAUGCUGGCCAUCAUGGGCCUGAGCCUGUCCUACUACAGUGCCAAACAGAUGACCGAGAAGGUCCAGAGGCUCCAGAAGAGAAGAGAUCCCCAUACCCCCUGAAGAGACCCCCCCCCCAUGGAGAUGACAGUGUCGGUGUCCAGAACAACACCUUUUCGUUCAGACACUGGAGUUUUACUGGGAUCACUCUCAAUGCGAGGAGAAUUCGGGGGCUGCUGCUGUUAAGGGUAUCUUAAUUUUUCACCCCAAUGGAUGUUGGGAGGACCUUGUGGGUCGAUUAAAAAAAAAAUGGGGGGUGUAUGUGGGAAAGGCCCAUGGUGGGGUUUGUGUGGUCCUGAUAAAGUUUGGGUGGUAAAAAGUACAACCAGCUGUCUCUGGUCAGGCUGGGCCCCUGCUUCAGUCGUUGCCAGGGUACAUGCGUGCAGGGUGCCGUCAAUACUGUUCUGAGCUAAAAAGGGAUAGAGAAAUGCUUAAUUGAAUAUUCUAAUGUACUGUGAAUCUUGCCAGUGAAUCUUGCCAACUAUAUGACAGUUUGUCUAAAAUAACUGAACAGUAAUUAUUUUUUAAGGGAAGGCUAUCUGCACUUGAGAUGCAUCUAGUAAUGACUGAAGGCGGGCCCGUAGUGUGGUUGAAAGUGGGAAGAAAGGAACCCUCUUAGGUUUUUUGUAAUUCCUUAUUGUUAAAAAAAUUAAAGUGAGCCAUGUGAACUAGAUGUGGAAGAGUCUCAAACUGGUCAAUAAUUCCACACAUGUUCAAUAUCUGUUAAUGUCAGACACAAACAAUCGUACAUUACUGGUGAAAUUAAGUAUUUUAACGUUUUGGGAACUUGCUUAUCCAAAUAUAUGAAAGAAAGGCACUUCAAUCACAACUUUGUUUUUCACAAUGUUUCUAUAUUAAAGUCUUGAUAAAAAUGUGUGGCUUUCUUUAAAGAACUCAAUCUGCAAUAGCUACUAGGUGUUACCACAAAUAUUCUAACUUUAGUAAACGUUGCAUGGGUGUGCGGCUUUUAAUCUCUUCGUUAAUACUGUCACAUUCAGUUUUUUUAAAGGAUGAUAACCAUGAAUGUAUAUUUCUAUGAUGUUUUUAUAGAAAAGCUGUGACUUGAAUAAAGCUGUGACUUGAAUAAUAAGAACUGUGGCAGUUUAGUA